UGGACGCAAGUCUGAUGGAGCAACGCCGCGUGAGUGAAGAAGGUUUUCGGAUCGUAAAGCUCUGUUGUUGGUGAAGAAGGAUAGAGGUAGUAACUGGCCUUUAUUUGACGGUAAUCAACCAGAAAGUCACGGCUAACUACGUGCCAGCAGCCGCGGUAAUACGUAGGUGGCAAGCGUUGUCCGGAUUUAUUGGGCGUAAAGCGAGCGCAGGCGGAAAAAUAAGUCUAAUGUGAAAGCCCUCGGCUUAACCGAGGAAUUGCAUCGGAAACUGUUUUUCUUGAGUGCAGAAGAGGAGAGUGGAACUCCAUGUGUAGCGGUGGAAUGCGUAGAUAUAUGGAAGAACACCAGUGGCGAAGGCGGCUCUCUGGUCUGCAACUGACGCUGAGGCUCGAAAGCAUGGGUAGCGAACAGGAUUAGAUACCCUGGUAGUCCAUGCCGUAAACGAUGAGUGCUAAGUGUUGGGAGGUUUCCGCCUCUCAGUGCUGCAGCUAACGCAUUAAGCACUCCGCCUGGGGAGUACGACCGCAAGGUUGAAACUCAAAGGAAUUGACGGGGGCCCGCACAAGCGGUGGAGCAUGUGGUUUAAUUCGAAGCAACGCGAAGAGCGUUACCAGGUCUUGACAUCUAGCGCCCAUUCGUAGAGAUACGAUGUUCCCUUCGGGGGACGCUAAGACAGGUGGUGCAUGGCUGUCGUCAGCUCGUGUC
rnacentral:rRNA from 1 species